UGAGGAAUAUUGGUCAAUGGGCGAGAGCCUGAACCAGCCAAGUCGCGUGAAGGAAGACCGCCCGCAAGGGUUGUAAACUUCUUUUGUAUGGGAUUACAGUCACCUACGUGUAGGUGUUUGCAGUUACCAUACGAAUAAGCAUCGGCUAACUCCGUGCCAGCAGCCGCGGUAAUACGUGGGAUGCGAGCGUUAUCCGGAAUUAUUGGGUUUAAAGGGUGCGCAGGUGGCUAAUCAGGUCAGUGGUGAAAAGCUAUGGCUCAACCAUGGUCUUGCCAUUGAAACCGUAUAGCUAGAGAGGAGACGAGGUAGGCGGAAUGUGUGGUGUAGCGGUGAAAUGCAUAGAUAUCACACAGAACUCCGAUUGCGAAGGCAGCUUACCAGGCUUUAUCUGACACUUAGGCACGACAGCGUGGGGAUCAAACAGG
rnacentral:rRNA from 1 species